rnacentral:rRNA from 1 species
AGUCGAGCGAACUGAUUAGAAGCUUGCUUCUAUGACGUUAGCGGCGGACGGGUGAGUAACACGUGGGCAACCUGCCUGUAAGACUGGGAUAACUUCGGGAAACCGAAGCUAAUACCGGAUAACAUCAUUCCUUGCAUAAGGAAUGAUUGAAAGAUGGUUUCGGCUAUCACUUACAGAUGGGCCCGCGGUGCAUUAGCUAGUUGGUGAGGUAACGGCUCACCAAGGCAACGAUGCAUAGCCGACCUGAGAGGGUGAUCGGCCACACUGGGACUGAGACACGGCCCAGACUCCUACGGGAGGCAGCAGUAGGGAAUCUUCCGCAAUGGACGAAAGUCUGACGGAGCAACGCCGCGUGAGUGAUGAAGGCUUUCGGGUCGUAAAACUCUGUUGUUAGGGAAGAACAAGUAUGAGAGUAACUGCUCGUACCUUGACGGUACCUAACCAGAAAGCCACGGCUAACUACGUGCCAGCAGCCGCGGUAAUACGUAGGUGGCAAGCGUUAUCCGGAAUUAUUGGGCGUAAAGCGCGCGCAGGCGGUUUCUUAAGUCUGAUGUGAAAGCCCACGGCUCAACCGUGGAGGGUCAUUGGAAA